UUCUUGCUCUCUCUUGAUUCUUUACAUGUGUUCUCUCUCUACUUCUUUCUUUCUUUCUCUCUCUUGAUUCUUUACAUGUGUGGAGUUUUGUAUUGCGGUGAAGGGAAAUGGACACCGACCAACAUCCAGCACAACUCCCAAACCCUAGCGGUCAAUGGGCAUCCCGUUCAGAGGCGGCCGUAUUUCGAGGAGGGUUUCACAUUUUUAAGCCUUUAAGAAUGAGAAGUUCGUUUUUUUCUUUGAAUGAUCCUACGUUCUCUCUCUAGAUGAUCUACCUUUGGAGGUUGACACUUCUUUUUACUCUCUUUCUCUCUCCUCCUUCCAAUUUUAGAGUUUGGCUGUGUUCUUGUCUCUCUCUGCGAUUCCAUUUCAAAGUUCCAAUAAAUUCGAUUCCUUUUCUUAUGUGAUGAUGAGACAUUGUGGUUGGGGUUUGCUGUCUGUAAAAUGCAUAUAGCGUGGAUAGAGAAAGAAGCAAAGUACAAAUCAGAAGAAGUGCGAAAAGUAGGGUUGAAGAAAAGGUUAGGAGGGUGUGUCCUUGUGGAUCGUGCUCAAGCCACUGCCAUUUUUGUCUUUUAAUUCCUAAAUUUCUUUUCCUUAAUGUCAGAUUGAUGGGCUUGUACAUGUGGUUUUGUAUGUCCAUGUGUUUGGUGAAUGAUAGAGGGUGUGUUGUUGAAGAA